rnacentral:rRNA from 1 species
AUGCGGCUAGUACUUCAGGCCAGAGCACUAAUAGCUGUGAUUCAGGCAUGGGUCAUGUUCAUGAACAAGAGAGUUGUUCGUCGUGUUAAGAGAUCUCUCAUCAGAUAUGCUCCAAUGCUUAUGUGGGAGCAGGAGAGGAUCUCCAAUCUGAACUACAUAUACGACUGCAAUGACACAGAUGCUCUGAUGCUUAGAAUGAAAAGAGCAUCAUUUGCCAGACUUGUUCACACUUUCAGGACCAGGGGGCUGCUAGAAGAUAGCAUCCACACCAGUGUGGAGGAGCAAGUCGCCAUGUUCCUUCAUAUUGUUGGCCAUAAACAGAGGUUCAGAAUUAUCCACAACAUGUUCAGGAGGUCAAUGGAGACCAUCUCAAGGUACUUCAAGCAAGUGUUUUAUGAUGUUGGGGAGCUCAGAGGAGAGAUGAUCAAGUCAACAACUGGUCGAACUCCUACCAAGAUUCGCACAAGCCCAAGAUGGUAUCAGUACUUCAAUGAUUGCAUUGGGGUAAUAGAUGAUACGAAUGUCACUAUCAGAGUGCCGAGGUCACAAGAUGUAGCAUUCAGGGGGAGAAAGCACUGCACAAGCCAGAAUGUGCUUGCUGCUGUUGAAUUUGAUCUGAAGUUCACCUAUGUGCUGGCUGGCUGGGAAGGGUCAGCAUAUGAUGCUAACAUACUCAGUGACAACAUAAGUCAUCCUGAUGGCAUCAACAUCCCUAAUGGAAAUUUCUACCUAGGAGAUGUUGGCUAUGCAUGUCGGGUAGGUGUACUUUCACCCUUCAGGAAAACGAGGUACCAUCUGAACGAGUUCCCUGGUAGAAACUACCCUAGGACUCCACAUGUGUUGUUCAAUCUCAGACACUCCAGCCUUAGAGUAAUGGUUGAGAGGGCAUUUGGAGCUAUCAAGAACAGGUUCAAGAUCCUGGAUCAGAAGCCAUUCCACCUUUACCCUACCCAGGAAGAGGUGAUGCCUGAUGAUCUUGACCUCGGUGGCCAUGGUGUUGAGGCAUUUGACAACGAAGCCUAA